GAAGACCUCAGGCGAUUAGAUUUGACACGUCAAAAUAAAACUUCAAACGAUUUUUUUAAAGUGAUAUCUACAAAGAUUUGAAUAUUUUAUUUUUUCUUAUAUGUUUUGCGAGGAUAGAAAAUAAAGAAUCAAUAUGAUAAAGAAAUUCUUGGACGCAAAUGAUCCUGAGAAAUUUAAUUAUACUUUUAGUUUGAAAAAUGGUUGUAUAUUCUUUGCCUUCUUUGGCGCAUUACUAUGGUGCACAGACAUGUUAUUCGACAAGAGGUACAAACUGAUCAUGAUGGUGAACGAGGCUCGUUACAAGAUCCUGUACACCACCGUGUUCUGCAUAUACGCCACUUGUACACUGACCUUUAUUAUACAUCUUAGUGUUAUUUAA